rnacentral:misc_RNA from 1 species
AAGUCGUAACAAGGUAUCUGUAGGUGAACCUGCAGAUGGAUCAUUUCGAUGAAAAACCUUUUUUCUGAGGUGCGGCUCGCACCUGUCUAACUAAAAUAGAGCUAUCCAUUUUAACACGGUUGCAUCGGUUGGCUGUCCAAUAGCGCUUGCGCUACAAGACAGCCGACACACAACACAAACACUUUUGAUGAUCUAGGAUUCGAAGGAAUUUUUGAUUACGACUGGUAAUGCGGUCGUCUAAAUCUAAAAAACAACUUUUGGCAACGGAUCUCUUGGUUCUC